GUCUCCGUCUCCUCUUUCAUGGCUUCUUGUCCUGCUGUUGUGGCAGCACAGCUUGAAUCUUCCGCUUCGUCUCCUGUUCUCUUUCUUCCUGAAAGCCUGGGAAAGAUCGAUAAGCCAGCGCACACAGUUUGAUGAGCCAGCCUAAGAAGUGUCUUUCGGGGAACUUUAAGGGGUAGCUGGCUCGCUGCCGUGUACCUGCCAUCCUAUAAUUCCUGGAGCCGGCAGGGGAAUUAAGGAGACAUGGAAAGGGAUAAGGGGCAGAGCUAGAGGGGAGGCCACCUCUGGAACCAGACUGGACACCUCGGGUGCCACCCCAGUUGAUUGACAGGUCACUGCACGCCACGUCGAAAACAGCGCGAUUUCUAAACGCAAACAGAGAAGGCAGAAUAAACGUCUUUCAAGUCACUGGCAUGGAUGGAGAAGACACACUUUCAGUGAAUACAUCAUUAUGAACUAAGUUUUAAAGUUGUUUCCUAAUGAGUCAUUGUUUUAAACUGUUGACAAUCUGAAGGCACAUUUAGAGAAGCACUAGAUUAGGAUAAUAUGGGAAACCACAUCAUAAUUAGUUUUCAGUAAGUGUAUUUAGGGACUUUAAAUCAACUCAAUUUGCAAGAAUUGAGUAGAGCUCAAAUAAUAAUAAUAAUGUAAUAGAGGCCCAGAGAUUAUCUCAAUGUCCAUGUUGCUUGUUUGCUAUUGUGAAGGUCUAAAUUUAUUAAUUUAAAGUUACUUUGGUGCUGACAGCCUACAUGAUCCAGUGUAAUUUUAUAGUAGGUAGGCUAGUAGUUGAUUUUAAGCUACAGCACGAGAAUGGGGACAAAUAGUUUAGCCUAACACAAGCUUAAGGUGUAACCAGGCUGUCUUAUUUUGUACAGGGACAGAUAACAAUGAAGAGGAAGGGAGAUAUUUCCAACUUCUUUGCUAAAAAAAACAAAUCAGGCACAGAUCAGGCACAGACAGACCCCAGCCAGCUCCCAACAUGAAACUAGCAAGGACACAAGGAGGACCCAGUCUACCACCACCAGUUUCAUCAUGGGAUGAGUCACUGAAACUUCCGCCUCUGAGGAGGAAGACAGUGAGCCAGAGCUGCUAGGAGAUGCCACCGAACCCCCCACAUCCACAUCAAGUACCACAUAUUGUGCAAAAAAAGGACCAAGUGACAUCUCAAGAUCCAGAGAGGAGGGUCCUGUUCAGCCAUGUCUGAAAAUGUUCCCAAGAACUCUACAUGGAAUAAGGAAGAGGGCAUUCAACAGCUCUUGGUAUAGGGACAAUCUAUGGCUGGAGUACUCUGUAAGUUGAAAUGGUAGUCACUUUUUCGCCUGCAGGCUUUUUUCCAUCCCUGGUACACCGGAAUCAGCCUUCACGUCCAAGUCAGGGUUCUCAAACUGGAAAAAAGACUUGUUUAAAGAUGUCGGGUUUAAAGUUCACUCAAAGUCAGAGCAACACAUGAAUGCCAUGUAUGCCUGGAGUGAAUACAAAAGGGGCAUCGAGAGUAACAAAUCAAUAUUGGACGCCUUAAAGGGGACAUAUUAUGCAAAACCAACUUUUUAUUCAUUUAUGUACAUUUGGGACUCUGGAGGGCCUAUCUGCAGGAAAAGUGGGAAAAAAUAUGACUGUUUUUGUGGGCUGCCUCAGUCCGAAUACAGGCGAUAAAGCAGUCUGUUCAGAUUUUUCCCCGUUAAUGACGUUUUCCCCGUUAUUGACGUCAGUUAUGUUGCCACCCACCACAGUUUACUUCCUGUGUUGACUAUCGGAGCUCUGCCCUUGUUACUAUAAAAGAGCAAGCUAUUUACAAUGUCUUAAGCCAGACUGAUGUGAUGAAUGUACAGGAUGUUAUGCAGACGUGGCAAGGUGAACUUGGUAUAGAUAUUGAUGGGGAUAAAUGGACUAAGAUAUGGACUCAAACAAAGAAAAUAUCUGUGUGUAACCGUGUCAGAUUGCUACAAUUUAAGAUUGUGCACCGUUUACAAAUCUCUCCUAAUAAAAGACAUACAAUGAACUCUACACUCUCACCUGCAUGUUUCAAAUGUAGUGGGCACCUAUACUCAUUGUAUCUGGUCUUGUCCUAAAAUUCAAGCAUACUGGGUGGAUGUUUUGCAAGAUCUGGAAAAUAUAUUUGGUGUUGUGUUGCACAUGGACCCUCUCUCUUUAAUCCUGGGUUACCCCAUACUAUUGUGGACGCUAACUCUACCAGACUGUAUAAUAUCCUCACAUAUGCAGCAAGGAAGAACAUCUUUCUGUCUUGGAUAAGUGACAAACCCAUUACUAAAUCAAACUGGCGUAAGAUAAUUAUGGAAUGUUUUCCCCUUGAGUACCUGACCUGUCUGCUUCACUCUUCAGAGGGACAGUUUAUGAACAUUUGGACUCCAUAUCUUCACUUUUACAGCUCUACAGUGGCUUCAAUGUUUAAGAGUGUUGUCCGUGGCAAGCCUUUGGCUCUUUUCCUGUGUCUUGCUCUUAACACUGUACUUGCAACCUCGUCAUUUUAAACUUCCAGAAUUGUGAACUAGGGUGUAUUUUUUUAUUUCUUAUUUUUUUAUUUAUUUCCUAUUCAUUGUACUGGUCGGGUGCAUGUGAGAUGUAAAUAUUGUAUAGACUGUCUAGACCAAUGUUGUACUGAGCAUUGUUGUUGUUGUUUUAUCGUUGUGGUUAUGUCAAUAUAUAAAAGCUCAAUAAACAUAUUUGAGAAAAAAAAAAAA